AAGCAGCUACCGGUGCCGGUCCCCGGGGGCGCCAUGGCGACCAGAGCGAACGCACGCCGCUGGACUUCCCAAGUAAGAAGCGGAAGAGGAGCCGCUGGAACCCAGACACAAUGGAACAGAAGACGGUGAUUCCGGGAAUGCCUGCGGUUAUUCCCGCUGGACUUACUCGAGAACAAGAAGGAGCUUACAUAGUGCAACUGCAGAUAGAAGACCUGACUCGUAACUGCGCACAGGAGACCUGGGCAUCCCCCCUAACGCUGAGGACAGGUCCCCUUCCCCUGAGCCCAUCUGCAAUAGCGAGGGGAAGCGGCUAAACACACGAGAGUUCUGCACCCACAAAACGCUGGAAGAGGAGCGGCACAACCUCAUCACUGAGAUGGUUGCACUCAACCCAGAUUUUAAGCCACCAGCAGAUUACAAACCUACAGCAACACGUGUGAGUGAUAAAGUCAUGAUUCCACAAGAUGAGUACCCAGAAAUCAACUUUGUGGGGCUGCUCAUUGGGCCCAGAGGGAACACCCUAAAGAACAUAGAGAAGGAGUGCAGUGCGAAGAUUAUGAUCCGGUGGAAAGGAUCUGUGAAAGAAGAGAAGGUUGGGCGCAAAGACAGCCAGAUGUUGCCGGGAGAAGAUGAGCCACUUCAUGCCCUGGUCACGCCAAUACAGUGGAGAACAUCAAAAAGGCAGUGGAACAGAUAAGAAACAUCUUGAAGCAGGGUAUCGAGACCCCAGAAGACCAGAAUGAUCUACAGAAGAUGCAGCUUCCGGAGUUGGCUUGCUUGAAUGGGACCCUUCUGGAAGGCGACAACAGGAUCUUAAGACCCUGGCAGAUUUCAGAGACCUGCAGCAUUACCAACACCACAGUUUGUACAAAGUGUGGAGGGGCUGGCCACAUCGCUUCAGACUGCUAAUUCCAAAGGCCUCAUUAUCCCCAAUCAGCUCAGGAUAAACCACGGAUGGAUAAAGAAUAUUUGUCCCUCAUGGCUGAACUGGGUGAAGCGCCCGUCCCAGCAUCUGUGGGUUCCACCUCUGGGCUUGCCACCACACCCCUGGCCAGCGCACCUCGUCCUGCUGCUCCCACCAACAACCCACCUGCACCGUCUCUCAUGUCCACCACCCAGAGCCGCCCAACCUGGAUGAAUUCUGGCCCUUCAGAGACUCGGCCUUACCACGGCAUGCAUGAAGGUGGUCCUGGUGGGCCCGGAGGCAACCCCCACAGCUUCCCACACCCGUUACCCAGCCUGACAGGUGGGCAUGGCAGACAUCCCAUGCAACAUAACCCCAGUGGACCCCCCCCCUUGGAUGCAGCCACCACCACCUCCGAUGAACCAGGGCCCCCACCCACCUGGGCACCAUGGCCCUCCUCCAGUGGAUCAGUACCUGGGAAGUACGCCUGUGGGCUCUGGGGUCUAUCGCCUGCAUCAGGGAAAAGGUAUGAUGCCGCCGCUGCCACCGCCUCCCAGUGGGCAGCCCCCGCCCCCUCCCUCUAGUCCUCUUCCCCCAUGGCAACAGCAGCAGCAGCAGCUGCCUCCGCCACUCCCUCUGCCCAGCAGCAGUAUGGCUUCCAGUACCCCCUUGCCAUGGCAGCAAAAUACGACGACUGCCACCACAAGCGCUGGCACAGGGUCCAUCCCGCCAUGGCAACAGCAGCAGGCGGCUGCCACAGCUUCUCCAGGAGCCCCUCAGAUGCAAGGCAACCCCACUAUGGUGUCCCUGCCCCCCGGGAUCCAGCAGCCUCUGCCGCCUGGGGCCCCUCCCCCUCCACCGCCUGGUUCCGCCCCCUCCUCCUGAGCCUCCCAUGGACCCUUCUAACUUUGUCACCGUAAUUGGCAUGGGGGUGGCCGUUAUGCUGCCCUUCUGGAUGCCUCCAGCUACCCCACUGCCUCCACCACAGAACUAG